rnacentral:rRNA from 1 species
UACGGAGGGGGCAAGCGUUGUCCGGAAUCACUGGGCGUAAAGGGCGCGUAGGUGGCUUCGUGCGUCGGUGCUGAAAGCGCCGGGCUUAACCCGGCGAGGCGUGCCGAUACGACGAGGCUUGAGGCAGGGAGAGGGUAGCGGAAUUCCGGGUGUAGUGGUGAAAUGCGUAGAGAUCGGCAGGAACACCCAGGGGGAAACCAGCCGACUGGGCAAGUGCUGACGCUGAGGUGCGAGAGCGUGGGGAGCGAACCGG